rnacentral:lncRNA from 1 species
UUCCCCAGCACUUCCUGAGCAAACUUUCAGUAGCUAGAAAAAGCCCUCAGGCAAACAGACAUAUGUGCUGGCAGUUUUGAAGGCCUGGAUGUUAAGUGCCAAGAGAAUUUGGGCAGGGCACUGAUGGCAAAUGUUAUAUCUUCCCUGCACUCUCUCUUAGGAAACUACUGAAGAAUGUGCUCCACCAAAACAGUGUUGUGAGUCAAGAAAGAGGAAGAGGCGGAAUUCAGGAACCAGAGCACUCAACACAGAGUCAGAAGAAAAGCUAUGAGCAACUGGGAAAUCAAAACUGAAAUUCCUUUGAAAGAGCCAUUGAUGCCAAACUGACCUGAAAUCUGGGGCUACCCUAAGAGGGCUUUGGCCUAAAUAAAUGGUCCAGGAGUGUAAUUUCCAUGAGGACAGGAACCAUGUCAGUUUUGUUUAACACUGUAUCCUUAGCAUUCAACACAGACCUUGAAGCAGC